rnacentral:rRNA from 1 species
UGAUCCUGGCUCAGGAUGAACGCUAGCGGCAGGCUUAACACAUGCAAGUCGUGGGGUAACAGAUGGACAGAUCCUUCGGGUGACGAUCAUGCUGACGACCGGCGCACGGGUGAGUAACGCGUAUGCAACCUGCCCCUGACAGGAGGAUAGCCCUAGGAAACUGGGAUUAAUACUCCAUGUAUUAUCAAAUAGGCAUCUAUUACAUAAUAAAGCUACGGCGGUCAGGGAUGGGCAUGCGUGCCAUUAGUUAGUUGGUGAGGUAACGGCUCACCAAGGCAUCGAUGGCUAGGGGUUCUGAGAGGAUGAUCCCCCACACUGGUACUGAGACACGGACCAGACUCCUACGGGAGGCAGCAGUGAGGAAUAUUGGUCAAUGGGCGCAAGCCUGAACCAGCCAUGCCGCGUGCAGGAUGACUGUUCUAUGAAUUGUAAACUGCUUUUCUGCGGGAAGAAAUGUACCUACGUGUAGGUAUUUGCCGGUACUGCAGGAAUAAGCAUCGGCUAACUCCGUGCCAGCAGCCGCGGUAAUACGGAGGAUGCAAGCGUUAUCCGGAUUCAUUGGGUUUAAAGGGUGCGCAGGCGGUGUAUUAAGUCAGUGGUGAAAUGCUGCGGCUCAACCGUAGACUUGCCAUUGAUACUGGUACACUUGAAUGUAGUUGAGGUAGGCGGAAUGUGUAAUGUAGCGGUGAAAUGCUUAGAUAUUACACAGAACACCGAUUGCGAAGGCAGCUUACUAAACUAUGAUUGACGCUGAGGCACGAAAGCGUGGGGAGCGAACAGGAUUAGAUACCCUGGUAGUCCACGCUGUAAACUAUGAUCACU